CCACAUGGGCCAUCUAGUCCAACCCCCUGCUAAGAAGCAGGAAAUCGCAUUCAAAGCACCCCCGACAGAUGGCCAUCCAGCUGACUAGUGCAAUAAGAGAUUCUAUGAUUUCCUGCUUCCUGGCAGGGUGUUGGACUGGAUGGCCCAUGAGGUCACUUCCAACUCUAUGAUUCUAUGGUUUAUGAUUUCUGGUUUCCUGGCAGGGGGUUGGACUGGAUGGCCCAUGAAGUG
rnacentral:lncRNA from 1 species